UUCCAUUUUGACUCUCACCAGAUGAACUCUUUGCAAUGGAAACAGAAGGUGGGUUGACGGAGAAAAGUAGACAUGAACUUGUGCCCGUUGACCUGGUGGAUCCUUCGUCUCACGGCGCCCUGACGCUUCCUUGUAAACUGCUUCUUCUUCUCUUUCACUAUGGCGUCGUCUGACAGAAAACAAUGACAAUGAAGGAUCAAUACUCCCUCUUUGACAUGAAGUUCCCAACUCGACCACGAUUCAAAAAGGAGCUAUUUGUACAUGGAGACUGACAUUGAAAAAGACACACAGAGACCGUCUUUGUUUAAGCU